GUGUCAUCCAUCCAUCCAACGAAAGGAAGAUGUAGGCGUAUAAGAACCCAAGGAACUAACAUUACUUUGAGUGAUUUUGACGCAAUUAUUACCGGAUUGUCUGAAGGAACCCAUUAAUAAACACCUAGCUAACUACAGGACCUUUUAGAGGGCAGAAACCAUGCCUCUACCGUUUGAUUUGGACCGGCGUUGGGGCUCGGACAGAAGGAAAGAUGACAAGGAUCACGACAAGAAAAAGGACCAUGAAAAGAAGAAGAAGUACAAGACUAAGACAGAGGAGCAGAUGGACAAACAGAUUGAGGAGCUCAGUGCGAAGCUGCUGGAAGAACAGCAAACAACCAGAAGG